CUUGGAUAUGCACAGAUGACCACAUAUUGGACAACGCCAACCAUUCAUCUCCAAGGAUUCUGGAGACCGACUGAUGUUACCAACUAAAUUGAUAUAUUCUGAAUUGUUUCAUUAACUGUGACGCAUUGAAAAGCUGAAACAAUCAACUGCCUCAAAUGCUACAUCCGAGAGCAACUCUCACUAGGGACUUCAGGAAUCACAGCACUGAAUGAUGGCAGAUGAUAAAAAUGGAAAGAAAGAUGUGGUUGAGGCAAAACAACUGUAUAACUUUAUAACUCUGCCAGAUGAACGCAUGUCUACCACUACAUUGUUCCCAGAGUAGGAGGGAGUAAGAGAAAGAUAAAGAGAAAAUGAAAGAACGUCUGCCUUGUCAGCAGGAGGCAGGUGGAUCUGAGCGGUUGAUGAUCUGGUGAAAUCGUUUUCUUUGUUUCUAGCAUGGACUCGACAAACCCUUCAGGCCUAUAACAGGUAAAGCAGCUUUAGUACAGCAUGACUCACCAGCUGCCAGUCUGCAUUUAGAGAGAAAGAAAGAAAGAGAGAGAGAUCAUACAAUCAUAAUUCAUAAGUCAUAAUUUACAUUUUAUGAGAUUUUGGGCAACAAAAUACACUAACCGAUAAUCAGUGGUGGCCAACAGUCAUAUAUUUCCUUUCCUUUUUUUUUUGUUUUUUUUGAUGAAAACGUGAAGCUGUCUGUCAAGAGACGAAGAAUCUCUGGAUGUGCCCACCAGUGUUGUGUAGCUAGAAUGUUGACUAUUUUGGACUUCUAUUCUGGCCAAGAAUUGCUCACUCAAAAGGACAAGAUCUGACUAACAAACCAACCAACUGACCACAUGUCAUUUAUGUGCUAUUUGGAAGUAUGUUUACCUGAAAUAGUUGACAUUAUCAUAAAAGACAUAGAAAUAGGCAUAGAAAAACUGGCUGAUGAAAUGAUCUGCAAAGAAACACUGAAAGCAGAA